UACGUAGGGGGCAAGCGUUGUCCGGAUUUAUUGGGCGUAAAGAGCGUGUAGGCGGCCAGGUAGGUCUGCUGUGAAAACUCGAGGCUCAACCUCGAGAUGUCGGCGGAAACCAUCUGGCUAGAGUCCGGAAGAGGCGAGUGGAAUUCCUGGUGUAGCGGUGAAAUGCGCAGAUAUCAGGAGGAACACCAAUUGCGAAGGCAGCUCGCUGGGACGUUACUGACGCUGAGACGCGAAAGCGUGGGGAGCAAACAGG
rnacentral:rRNA from 1 species